UUUUUUUUUUCUUCAGAAAUAGUUACAGAACAUUUGGCAUGAAUAUGGGCAGCAGAAGUCAUUCCUAAAGGAAAUGUGGGGAGGGAAAAAAAAAAGAGGUACUCCUCUGUGUAGAGAAGUCAUACCGAAAUAAAUGUCUGUUCCUUCUGAAGCAAGAUGGUUCUUGACUAAGAACUAUGAUACACUUUCACAGUUUGUCUUAUGAGGAGAAUGUAUAGGUGUGGGUCCUGUGGUUAAUAAUGUUAUUGUUCACAGGGAAGAAGCGUGAGAAACCCACUUGUGAGAUUGUGUGUUUGAACAGGAAAGCUUUCUGAUGACCGGAGUGAAAAGAUGAGGCUGUGUGGGUUGGCCAUUGAGCUGUAAAGUACAUAUGCUACCACACUGCACCUUUUAAAACAUUCUGGUUUUUAAAGAACGGAAGGCAUUGCUAGUUGAGAGCAGUGCUAGAUUUAUGGAGCCCGUAAAGGCGUGUGAGCUUUUGGUUUAAAAUUUUAAUGCAAAGUGUGUUUUGCCUGUUGACAGAUCCAUGCAAGGCAGAUGCAAGGUUCCUCCUCCUGCCAGCAUGCCUUCUCCUGCCCGGCACAUCUGUGUACAUGAAAGUAAACAUCUACGUGUUCGCACGCAUGUUGUACUAUUAGAGUGCAUCAAAUCAUGGGUGGGUUUUGUUCGUUGCAGUGGUUGAAGAGGAAAAAAACCAAUCCAACAACCCUGGAACAAAAACCAGAUUAACUUCCAGUCAAACUGAAAUAAAUAGGUCAGGGUGGUUCUGGUGAAGUGAAGGGGAAAAAAAACCCCAACAACAAAACACCAGCUAAAAAACCCCGAACCUGCUUUAAGAUAAUCUGGAAGAUUAAAUUUGACCUGAGACUAUUUUUUUUCUUUUUAAGUUGGGUAUGAAGGAAAAUGAAAUGCUGUUUGAAAUGAAAAUUUGCAGGUUUAUUUUGAAAAUACCAGAACACCACUUGAUUUUCUUAUGCCUCCCUCCCACUCAGCUUUUUGGCCAAGGCGUGUUUGCUGAGUUUCGCUCAAAUUAGCGAACUGAGUUCAGUUCACUUCUUCCUCCACUGAAAAACUUAAGAUUUUGGGGGUGGGGUAAUCUGUCAUUUAUAUGCACAUAAAUCGCUCUGCUCUGAUCGGGGUGAAUGUUAAGCAGAGAGUUAAAUGCAGUCCAAAAUGUUUGUGAUGACUUUUUUCCAUUUUCAUCAAAUGAAAUAAAUAAAUAAAAAUAAUGAAGUAAUAAUAAUAAAAAUACCCAAUUUUUUUGAAAUAAAUAAAUAAAUUUUAAAUAAACUCUAGUAUCUAUUGCCUCCCUGGCCUACGUAUGUUUGGUGCCUUCACCAUAUCUUGCUAACCUCUGGCUCAAGGAGGAGCUGGAGGCUUGCAGCCUGCUUGCUGGAGGUGCACAAGCAGGCUGGCUGGGGCUUUGGGCAGGUGGGGUGAAAGCUACCGAGCAGUAGCAGUGCCCCAAGGGCUGGUGGUGCUUUCGUGUGGGUUAGUAUCCUUCUGCUCUGUCGAGCGAUUACUGCUCUGUGGCUCCUUUACCUUGCAAAGGUGACACAUGUAGGGUGGGCAGCCUGGCUGGUGUACCCUCCAGCUCCCUGGAAAAGUGGUGGGUUUGCCAAUCCCCUCCAUCCCAAAAUGAAUAAUAAUGAUUCAUAAACUAAAUAUGCAGGACCAGCAGAGGUGGUUUUGCCAGAACCAUUCUGCAGAGUAGAAGGCUCCUCCUGGGGUGCAGGGGCCAUUGGGGCUGGAUGAGUCAGGCGGGAUUUUGCUGGGGAAAAAGAUGUGGAAGGAAGGAGGAAAGGAUAUAAACCAGCUGUCUUGAUGACAGGAUAGUAGUAUUUUAGCUCUGGCUUUCAUGAGAAGAAAAUUAUCAGUUUGUGGGAACAAGGUUUGUGUGUGUUUGGUAAUCAAAGCACAGCGGUAUAAUCCCUGCCUUCCCGUCGCCAGAUUCAGCA
ensembl:lncRNA